UGGCAGUGUAGGAAAUAUCUU
rnacentral:miRNA from 1 species